GAUGAACGCUGGCGGCGUGCUUAACACAUGCAAGUCGAACGAAGCACUUUAUUUGAUUUCCUUCGGGACUGAUUAUUUUGUGACUGAGUGGCGGACGGGUGAGUAACGCGUGGGUAACCUGCCUUGUACAGGGGGAUAACAGUUGGAAACGGCUGCUAAUACCGCAUAAGCGCACAGCAUCGCAUGAUGCAGUGUGAAAAACUCCGGUGGUAUACGAUGGACCCGCGUUGGAUUAGCUAGUUGGUGAGGUAACGGCCCACCAAGGCGACGAUCCAUAGCCGACAUGAGAGGGUGACCGGCCACAUUGGGACUGAGACACGGUCCAAACUCCUACGGGAGGCAGCAGUGGGGAAUAUUGCACAAUGGGCGAAAGCCUGAUGCAGCGACGCCGCGUGAGCGAAGAAGUAUUUCGGUAUGUAAAGCUCUAUCAGCAGGGAAGAUAAUGACGGUACCUGACUAAGAAGCACCGGCUAAAUACGUG
rnacentral:rRNA from 1 species